GUGCCCCUUUUUUGCCCACCCUGGACCAAUAUUUGUCCUUGGUGCCUAACACAGGGGGGCAGAAUAGCUCUCUCAUAAACCUGUAGUGAAUGGAACAAAUCCUCACUGCGGAUCCUGUCGGGAGAAACAACC